rnacentral:rRNA from 1 species
AGUGAACGCUGGCGGUAGGCCUAACACAUGCAAGUCGAACGGCAGCACAGUAAGAGCUUGCUCUUACGGGUGGCGAGUGGCGGACGGGUGAGGAAUACAUCGGAAUCUACUUUUUCGUGGGGGAUAACGUAGGGAAACUUACGCUAAUACCGCAUACGACCUACGGGUGAAAGCAGGGGAUCUUCGGACCUUGCGCGAUUGAAUGAGCCGAUGUCGGAUUAGCUAGUUGGCGGGGUAAAGGCCCACCAAGGCGACGAUCCGUAGCUGGUCUGAGAGGAUGAUCAGCCACACUGGAACUGAGACACGGUCCAGACUCCUACGGGAGGCAGCAGUCGGGAAUAUUGGACAAUGGGCGCAAGCCUGAUCCAGCCAUACCGCGUGGGUGAAGAAGGCCCUCGGGUUGUAAAGCCCUUUUGUUGGGAAAGAAAAGCAGCAGGUUAAUACCCCGCUGUUCUGACGGUACCCAAAGAAUAAGCACCGGCUAACUUCGUG